rnacentral:rRNA from 1 species
UGGGGAAUCUUCCGCAAUGGACGAAAGUCUGACGGAGCAACGCCGCGUGAGUGAAGAAGGCCUUCGGGUUGUAAAGCUCUGUCUUCAGGGACGAAUGUGGGUGAGGUGAAUAAUCUUAUCUAAUGACGGUACCUGAGGAGGAAGCCACGGCUAACUACGUGCCAGCAGCCGCGGUAAUACGUAGGUGGCAAGCGUUGUCCGGAAUUAUUGGGCGUAAAGCGCGCGCAGGCGGGAUAUCAAGUCUAUCUUAAAAGUGCUGGGCUCAACCCAGUGAGGGGAUGGAAACUGGUAUUCUUGAAUGUCGGAGAGGAAAGUGGAAUUCCCAGUGUAGCGGUGAAAUGCGUAGAUAUGGGGAGGAACACCAGUGGCGAAGGCGACUUUCUGGACGAUGUCUGACGCUGAGGCGCGAAAGCCAGGGAAGUGAACG